rnacentral:tRNA from 1 species
CGAAUCAUUUUGAUAAUAAUCAGUU